rnacentral:rRNA from 1 species
UACGUAGGGUGCAAGCGUUGUCCGGAAUUAUUGGGCGUAAAGAGCUCGUAGGCGGCUUGUCACGUCGGGUGUGAAAGCCCGGGGGCUUAACCCCGGGUCUGCAUUCGAUACGGGCUAGCUAGAGUGUGGUAGGGGAGAUCGAAUUCCUGGUGUAGCGGUGAAAUGCGCAGAUAUCAGGAGGAACACCGGUGGCGAAGGCGGAUCUCUGGGCCAUUACUGACGCUGAGGAGCGAAAGCGUGGGGAGCGAACAGG